GAUAAACGCUGGCGGCGUGCCUAACACAUGCAAGUCGAACGAUCCCGCAAGGGAGAGUGGCGGAAGGGUGAGUAACACGUGGGAAUCUACCUCCUCGCAGGGAACAACCUCUCGAAAGAGAGGCUAAUACCCAAAAGGGUCAGAAAUGAUCAAAGUCGAAAGGCGUGAGGAGAGGAGCCCGCGGCCCAUCAGCUAGUUGGUGAGGUAAUGGCUUACCAAGGCUACGACGGGUAGGGGAUCUGAGAGGAUGUCCCCCACACUGGAACUGAAACACGGUCCAGACGCCUACGGGUGGCAGCAGUGAGGAAUAUUGGACAAUGGGCGAAAGCCCGAUCCAGCAACGCCGCGUGGAGGAUGAAGGCCUUCGGGUCGUAAACUUCUUUAGAGGGAGACGAGAAAGGACGGUAUCCCUAGAAUAAGCGACGGCAAACUACGUGCCAGCAGCCGCGGUAAU
rnacentral:rRNA from 1 species